GUCCACGCCGUAAACGAUGAUCACUCGCUGUAUGCGAUACACAGUAUGCGGCCAAGCGAAAGCAUUAAGUGAUCCACCUGGGGAGUACGAUCGCAAGGUUGAAACUCAAAGGAAUUGACGGGGGCCCGCACAAGCGGAGGAACAUGUGGUUUAAUUCGAUGAUACGCGAGGAACCUUACCUGGGCUUAAAAUGGGGAACGACAGCAGCCGAAAAGGUUGCCUUCUUCGGACGUUCUUCAAGGUGCUGCAUGGUUGUCGU
rnacentral:rRNA from 1 species